ensembl:lncRNA
UUAUACAGUCUGUUUUUUGUGAAAUGUCGUGCUUGAAAAGUCUCCUUGGGGCUUCUUUCAUUCAUAUAAAUGCAGCUUGGUUUGACGUGUUGCUUUCUAAUGCAGUGAAAUUCAGACGUGUCAAAGUGGCUAAGUGUCCCAAUACUUUUGGUGCCCCUGUGUGUAGAUAUAAAAGUGUAUUAAAAAAAGACUAAAUAUAAAAAAAUUAAGUAAGUAAGUGUAUUGGUGUAUAAAUAAUUUUCCACAGCUGGUGUAAAGAUGAAUAAAGCGUUGUGUUAGUGAUCACAGUAACAGAUGAUAAUGAAGAUGAGAGAGAACCAGAUGAUGAUGAUGAUGAUGAUUCUUACUAUUAUUACUGAUUGUUAUUAUUGUUAUUGUUGUUAUUAUUAGUCAGAAAGAGCAGAACUGUACGAGGAACGUUUCAGCGCUUUAGCGCCGCCUGUGGCUGUGGAGAGUGAUGCAGCGGUGAUGUCAUAGUAAGCUGCGAGGCCAACCCUCGAAAGUCAGAAAUCGAAAGUCAGAAGUGCGCCGUUAGAAAGAGAGAAGAAAGCGGAGUGAAGAAGAUCUCGAGGUGAGUUUAUUGUGAACAGAAUUGAAUGUUGCAAGUUCCAGAGGACAGAGUGCAGAUGAACGCAGUGAAGUGUGUGUGAAGUGUGUGUGAAGUGAAUCCUCCAGGCUGGGUGGGGUCGCGGAGGCCCGUUAUAGCGCCUUCUAGCGCCUUCUUUUCCUCUCACAUCAUUUCCUCUGUUCUUCCUCUUCUACUGCACACACUAUUGUACACUGUAUUCAUCACCGCGGUGCUUUGAUCUGUUUACAGUUACAUUUCACAUUCUUUCACUACAGCGCUUCUUCUUUAAAGACAAAUUGCUUUGGUUUGAUGUGUUUCCUCAGUACACACGUGUGAGUAUGUGUACAGAUUGUAGUGCAGGUUCUCUACAGUGUAAAAGUGUUGUAGGGAUAAAGCUUUAGCACAGAACCCCACAUUUAUUCCAGCCGUCAUCAGGGAGUGGAGCUGAGACUGGAGCUCCAGGAAAACACUGUGGAGAGAAACUGACCGACAGCGCCAUCUGCUGGGUGGAACAGGAAGUUGCUCAGCUGCAUUUGGGAGAAAAUAUAAAUAAAUAAAUAUCCCGAGUCUAUCUAUCUAUCUAUCUAUCUAUCUAUCUAUCUAUCUAUCUAUCUAUCUGUGUGUGUGUGUGUGUGUGUAGUGUACACACAUACAUAUACAGUAUUAUAUGUACACUACACACACACACACAUACAGUAUUAUACGUACACUACACAUACAUACAAUAUUAUACGUACACUACACAAACACACACAUAUAUACAGUAGUAUAUGUACACUACACACACACAUAUACAGUAUUAUAUGUACACUACACACACACAUAUACAGUAUUAUACGUACACUACACACACACAUACACAGUAUUAUUUGUACACUACACACACACACAUAUACAGUAUUAUAUGUACACUACACACAAACAUAUACAGUAUUAUGUGUACACUACACACACAUAUACAUUAUUAUAUGUACACUACACACAUACAUUAUUAUAUGUACACCACACACACAUAUACAGUAUUAUAUGUACACUACACACACGCACACAUAUACAGUAUUAUAUGUACACUACACACACACAUAUACAGUAUUAUAUGUACACUACACACAUAUACUGUAUUAUAUGUACACUACACACACACACACACAUAUACAGUAUUAUACAUACACUACACACGCACACAUAUACAGUAUUAUAUGUACACUACACACACAUAUACAUUAUUAUAUGUACACCACACACACAUAUACAGUAUUAUAUGUACACUACACACACAUAUACAUUAUUAUAUGUACACUACACACACAUAUACAUUAUUAUAUGUACACUACACAUAUACAGUAUUAUAUGUACACUACACACACGCACACAUAUAUACAGUAUUAUAUGUACACUACACACACCAUAUACAGUAUUAUAUGUACACUACACACAUAUACUGUA